CCUACGGGGGGCAGCAGUGGGGAAUUUUGGACAAUGGGCGCAAGCCUGAUCCAGCAAUGCCGCGUGCAGGAUGAAGGCCUUCGGGUUGUAAACUGCUUUUGUACGGAACGAAACGGUUCGCUUUAAUACAGUGGGCUAAUGACGGUACCGUAAGAAUAAGCACCGGCUAACUACGUGCCAGCAGCCGCGGUAAUACGUAGGGUGCGAGCGUUAAUCGGAAUUACUGGGCGUAAAGCGUGCGCAGGCGGUUUUGUAAGACAGAUGUGAAAUCCCCGGGCUCAACCUGGGACCUGCAUUUGUGACUGCAAGGCUAGAGUACGGUAGAGGGGGAUGGAAUUCCGCGUGUAGCAGUGAAAUGCGUAGAUAUGCGGAGGAACACCGAUGGCGAAGGCAAUCCCCUGGACCUGUACUGACGCUCAUGCACGAAAGCGUGGGGAGCAAACAGGAUUAGAUACCCCAGUAGUC
rnacentral:rRNA from 1 species